UCGCUCAGGUCCUCCCUCAGCUGGUCGAGUCAAUCUUUCGCCUUUUACUAAAGAUUGCCGUGGGGGAGGACACUCUUAUGAGCCUAUAGGCAAAUUUUUGGGAGGACUUACCCGUUUGGGUGAGG
rnacentral:snRNA from 1 species